UACGUAGGGGGCGAGCGUUGUCCGGAUUUAUUGGGCGUAAAGAGCUCGUAGGCGGCUUGGCAAGUCGGGUGUGAAACCUCCAGGCUCAACCUGGAGACGCCACUCGAUACUGCUAUGGCUAGAGUCCGGUAGGGGACCACGGAAUUCCGUGGUGAGCGGUGAAAUGCGUAGAGAUCGGGAGGAAGGCCGGUGGCGAAGGCGGCGCUCUGGAACGUACCUGACGCUGAGACACGAAAGCGUGGGGAGCAAACAGG
rnacentral:rRNA from 1 species